UACGGAGGAUCCGAGCGUUAUCCGGAUUUAUUGGGUUUAAAGGGUGCGCAGGCGGGAGAUUAAGUCGGCGGUGAAAUUUUGCAGCUCAACUGUAAAAGUGCCUUCGAUACUGGUUUCCUUGAGUGUGGAUGAAGUAGGCGGAAUUUGUGGUGUAGCGGUGAAAUGCAUAGAUAUCACGAGGAACUCCGAUUGCGCAGGCAGCUUACUAAACCAUAACUGACGCUCAGGCACGAAGGCGUGGGGAUCAAACAGGAUUAGAUACCCGGGUA
rnacentral:rRNA from 1 species